rnacentral:misc_RNA from 1 species
GUAGGUGAACCUGCGGAAGGAUCAUUAAUGAAACUUCAAAGUCGGCUUGUCUAUCUGUGCUGGUGGAGACACAUGUGCACGUUGGCAGGUCGCAAAUCCCCACACCUGUGAACCUAUGACUCUGAGUACCGCUUUGCAUGGCCCUCAUCGGCCUGGUACUCGAGUACUUUACACACUCUGAAUGUAAUGGAAUGUCUUUUUGUACAAUGUACAACUAAAACAACUUUCAACAACGGAUCUCUUGGUUCUG